rnacentral:piRNA from 1 species
UGCACGUGGUUGCAGAAAGUGAAGGAUUGU